CUGACGCAACCCCUCUGCAUUAAUCCGGGGAGAGAGCUGGACACUGAUCUAAAAAAAAAGACUGGAUAGCGCAUACACAUCGAGUGGUCAGUGGAGCUGGAGCCCAUCCCGGCUAACUUCAGGCGAAGACAGACGACACCCCGAACUGGUCGCCAGCCAAUCGCAGGGCAGUGUCCCAAUGAGACAAGAAGGCUUCCUGACAAAUACUGACCUACUUUGACAAAAGAUAUGGUCAGUGGAUUAAACUGAUAAAAAUAUAAUUCAGUGGAAUUACAACACCUUGUAUUUUGUCAUAAUAACGAUGGAAGAAAAACUAAGCAACGAUUGACCAUCAAACUUUGACGUCAUGGGCAAAAAAACAAAACAAAACGAAACUUGGUAAUCUAGCGUGGCCCUGGAUAGGGACAUGAAUUGGUAGGAAUUGAAUUCCAUUCACAAAACUACUUUUUAAAAUUGUAAGCUUAUUCCGUGUCAAUUCUCAUUAAUUUUCUCAAUUAAUUCCAACAGAGUGCAGGUAAACUGAUGAGUUUGAGUCUGCCACUGCAAAUAUGGCCACACUGUUCUGAGGUCAUGGGUUCAAAUCCAGCCUACCCGUGCCUGCUUGGGGUAUUCACCAUGUCCUCCACUUUCUUCUCACAUUCCAAAAACAUGCUUGGUAGGUUAGUUAAAAACUUCUGGGUGUUUCAUAAUUCGCCAUACAUAGGAGAUAUGUAUUUCAUCAUGUUUCAAAUAAGCCCCUCAGAAUUUUGUUACGUUACUUAUGUGACAUUUUCUGUGGGGG